AGAGUUUGAUCAUGGCUCAGGAUGAACGCUGGCGGCGUGCCUAACACAUGCAAGUCGAACGAAGCGGUUUUGGUGAAGUUUUCGGAUGGAACCGGAAUUGACUGAGUGGCGGACGGGUGAGUAACGCGUGGGUAACCUGCCUCAUACAGGGGGAUAACAGUUAGAAAUGACUGCUAAUACCGCAUAAGCGCACGGGACCGCAUGGUUUUGUGUGAAAAGCCGAGACGGUAUGAGAUGGACCCGCGUCUGAUUAGCUGGUUGGUGGGGUAACGGCCCACCAAGGCGACGAUCAGUAGCCGACCUGAGAGGGUGACCGGCCACAUUGGGACUGAGACACGGCCCAAACUCCUACGGGAGGCAGCAGUGGGGGAUAUUGCACAAUGGGGGAAACCCUGAUGCAGCGACGCCGCGUGAGUGAAGAAGUAUUUCGGUAUGUAAAGCUCUAUCAGCAGGGAAGAGAAUGACGGUACCUGAGUAAGAAGCCCCGG
rnacentral:rRNA from 1 species